CAGAACUGGAUAAACAAUCUAAAAACAGCGGGAGCAGAAACAGACAAUGCCAGAGUUUGCAGCGCCCACUUUCUAACAGGUUGUCCUAGUGCAGCAACUGAUGUUAUUCUCCAAGGCUGGGCCCCUACUGUCAAUUUGGGAUACCAAAGGAGUAAGGAGAAGCCACAAACAGAAGCAUCACGGCUGCAGGGGGAAAGAGCCAGGGCAUGGGAGCACCACGGUACUGCUACGGAGAGGGAGGCAGCCAAUUUGGAGGAUGUUCUCUGUGAUGAAGCCUUACAGAGCCAUGAAGAGGAGUGUUUCAAAGAUGCAGAAUGCCAGAU